UACAGAGGUCUCAAGCGUUGUUCGGAUUCAUUGGGCGUAAAGGGUGCGUAGGCGGCGCGGUAAGUCGGGUGUGAAAUCUCGGAGCUUAACUCCGAAACUGCAUUCGAUACUGCCGUGCUUGAGGACUGGAGAGGAGACUGGAAUUUACGGUGUAGCGGUGAAAUGCGUAGAUAUCGAGAGGAACACCUGCGGCGAAGGCGGGUUGCUGGCUGACACUGACGCUGAUGUGCGAAAGCUAGGGGAGCGAACGGG
rnacentral:rRNA from 1 species